rnacentral:rRNA from 1 species
UACGGGGGGUGCAAGCGUUGUUCGGAAUCAUUGGGCGUAAAGAGCGUGUAGGCGGUUGGAUAAGUCAGAUGUGAAAGCCCUGGGCUCAACCCAGGAAGUGCAUUUGAAACUGUCCUACUUGAGUACGGGAGAGGAAAGUGGAAUUCCUGGUGUAGAGGUGAAAUUCGUAGAUAUCAGGAGGAACACCGGUGGCGAAGGCGACUUUCUGGCCCGAUACUGACGCUGAGACGCGAGAGCGUGGGGAGCAAACAGGAUUAGAUACC